rnacentral:rRNA from 1 species
UACGUAGGGGGCAAGCGUUGUCCGGAAUCAUUGGGCGUAAAGCGCGUGUAGGCGGUUCGGGAAGUCUGCUGUGAAAGUCCAGGGCUCAACCCUGGGAUGCCGGUGGAUACUGUCGGACUAGAGUACGGAAGAGGCGAGUGGAAUUCCCGGUGUAGCGGUGAAAUGCGCAGAUAUCAGGAAGAACACCAAUGGCGAAAGCAGCUUUCUGGGACGGUACUGACGCUGAGACGCGAAAGCGUGGGGAGCGAACAGG